rnacentral:rRNA from 1 species
UUCCAGGAAAAGUCUCUAAGCUUCAGUUACACAGGAAUCGUACCCGAAACCGACACAGGUGGUCAGGUCGAGUAGACCAAGGCGCUUGAGAGAACUCUGCUGAAGGAACUAGGCAAAAUGGUACCGUAACUUCGGGAGAAGGUACGCUGUUGUUGGUGAUGGAACUCGCUUCCUGAGCUGACGACAGCCGCAGAAACCAGGCCGCUGCAACUGUUUAUUAAAAACAUAGCACUCUGCAAACACGAAAGUGGACGUAUAGGGUGUGAUGCCUGCCCGGUGCUGGAAGGUUAAUUGAUGGGGUUAGCGUAAGCGAAGCUCUUGAUCGAAGCCCCAGUAAACGGCGGCCGUAACUAUAACGGUCCUAAGGUAGCGAAAUUCCUUGUCGGGUAAGUUCCGACCUGCACGAAUGGCAUAAUGAUGGCGGCGCUGUCUCCAGCAGAGGCUCAGUGAAAUCGAAAUCGCUGUGAAGAUGCAGUGUACCCGCGGCUAGACGGAAAGACCCCGUGAACCUUUACUGCAGCUUGACACUGAACUUUGACCUUACUUGUGUAGGAUAGGUGGGAGGCUUUGAAGCUGGAACGCUAGUUCCAGUGGAGCCGUCCUUGAAAUACCACCCUGGUAAUGUUGAGGUUCUAACUCUGUCCCGUGAUCCGGGACGAGGACCGUGUCUGGUGGGUAGUUUGACUGGGGCGGUCUCCUCCUAAAGAGUAACGGAGGAGUACGAAGGUGCGCUCAGCGUGGUCGGAAAUCACGCGUAGAGUAUAAAGGCAAAAGCGCGCUUAACUGCGAGACCCACAAGUCGAGCAGGUACGAAAGUAGGUCUUAGUGAUCCGGUGGUUCUGUAUGGAAGGGCCAUCGCUCAACGGAUAAAAGGUACUCUGGGGAUAACAGGCUGAUACCGCCCAAGAGUUCAUAUCGACGGCGGUGUUUGGCACCUCGAUGUCGGCUCAUCUCAUCCUGGGGCUGAAGCAGGUCCCAAGGGUAUGGCUGUUCGCCAUUUAAAGAGGUACGCGAGCUGGGUUUAGAACGUCGUGAGACAGUUCGGUCCCUAUCUACCGUGGGCGCUGGAAAUUUGAGAGGAUCUGCUCCUAGUACGAGAGGACCAGAGUGGACGAACCUCUGGUGUACCGGUUGUGACGCCAGUCGCAUCGCCGGGUAGCUAUGUUCGGAAGGGAUAACCGCUGAAAGCAUCUAAGCGGGAAGCCUACCUCAAGAUAAGAUUUCCCUAGGACUUUAUGUCCUCUAAAGAGCCGUUCGAGACUAGGACGUUGAUAGGUUGGAUGUGGAAGCAUAGUGAUAUGUGAAGCUGACCAAUACUAAUUGCUCGUGAGGCUUGACUAU